rnacentral:lncRNA from 1 species
GCAACCCAUUCUAUGUUAAUAGUCAAUCUAUCGUCUUUACAUGGUUCAUUAACCAUCAGAGCAACCGACACUAAAAUGGUGACGAUUAAAAUCGCUCCCAGACCCACCCCAACUGCUUGUCUACAGUGGACUCUACCCUUUCUCUCUCGCUUUAGCUCCGCUUCAGCUAUCAUUUAUUUUAUUUAUUUUUUAUUUCACCUUUAUUUAACCAGGUAGGCAAGUUGAGAACAAGUUCUCAUUUACAAUUGCGACCUGGCCAAGAUAAAGCAAAGCAGUUCGACACAUACAACAACACAGAGUUACACAUGGAGUAAAACAAACAUACAGUCAAUAAUACAGUAGAAAAAUAAGUCUAUAUACAAUGUGAGCAAAUGAGGUGAGAUAAGGGAGGUAAAGGCAUCAUGGCGACUUCUAGCUCACCCAUUAUGCUGUGGGAUCUCGCUUCACGUGAGAAGUGUGAACCCACCAAGGAGAGGCUGUGGUCUUCACCGCUGCGGGUGCAGUUAGUAGUACGGUGUAUGGUCCUGACCAACGCCGUCCCAACGCCCCCGCCUGGUGGAUUUUGAUGUACACUCGAUCUCCAGGAGUCAGCCCGUGCUCUCGGUUAUCUCCUGGCGCCUGUUCCUCGUGUGCAGCUUUCACCUGGGAAUAUACACACUGCAACGCAUGGGUCAUUUUCUGACAAUAUGACAACAUAGAUUCUCCCAUUAUUGCCAAAUCACUAAUUUGUGACAUGUGAAUAACAGCCCCUGGAACCCUCAUCGGUCUGCCAGUCACCACUUCAUGUGGCGUUAGUCCAGUAGUGGCAUUAGUUGACGCCCUCAUUGACAUCAGUACCACGGGUACAUUUGUAACCCAGUCUUUCCCUUCGGUACCUUAAAGUCUUGGCCAAUUUCUCCUUAAUCGAACGAUUCUGACGCUCCGUAAUCCCUGCCGCUUGCGGCCUAUACGGACAAUGAAAAGCAUGGGAGAUUCCCAAAGCCUUACAUACCGCUUGUAGCACUUUAGAAGUGAAAUGUGUUCCUUGAUCGGAAUCUAAUGUCCGAAAUAAGCCCCAUCUCGGUAUCACCUCCCUCCACAAAGUUUUUGCCACAAAGUUCGCUGAUGCUGUGGAAGUUAACCACUCCCACAUUUAUUUCUUGUUAGUUUGCUGCUGUAAAUCUAUUAGAGUCACAAUCCCAGCCUUCGUAUUCACAAUAUUUACAUGUGGUUCUCUAACACUUUCUCUCACCAAGGCAGCCGCCUUAGCCAUUUCGUCUGCUCUACGAUUACCUAUGGCGAUAUUAUCUGUGCGACUAGUAUGAGCUUCACAUUUCACCACUGCUAAUUUAUUGGGCAACUGACAUGCUUCUAAUAAUGCCUCUACCUCUAGUCCAUUUUUUUAUUGGUGUUCCUGUUGCUGUUAACAUGCCCCGUUCUGACCACAAUGUACUGAAAUCAUGAACUUCUCCAGAUGCAUACCGAGAAUCUGUGUAUAUUGUUACAUUCUCCCCUUCCGACCACCUACAAGCCUCGGCCAGUGCAUGUACCUCCGCCCCCUGGGCUGACACCGAGGCUGACAUUGGGCCAGCCUUUACUACUCCUCUGUCAUCACACACAGCGUAAUCCGUAACUCUCUUCCAAGCUGUGGUCAUGUAACUAGAGCCAUCUGUAUACAAUACUUUUCCCGAUUCUAAUGCUGUCCCUUGCAAAGCAGGCCUAGGUUUUGGAGUAAUCUGAUUUGGGUUACAUGUAUGCGAUUCACCUAGCCCAGGUAACGGCAUUAAUGACGCAGGAUUCAAGCACCUAUCUUAUGAAAUUGUAGAUUUUCCCCAUUUAACGUUAACUCCCAUUUUGUCCAUCUUGCACUAGUAACAUGUUGUGCUUUCGUGCUGUUCACAAUGGUUGCUACUGCGUGUGGAACAUACAAAUCUACUUUUUGACCCAUUGUAAUGGAAGCCGUGUUAUGCAACACCAUUUCAGUCGCCUGUACCGCCCUAAGGCACGGUGGCAUUCCUUUUGCCACCGAGUCUAGCGAUUUACUCCAGUACAUUAUUGGUCUCUCUCUACCCCCAUGAUUUUGCGUAACCACCGCGCUACAAUGUCCUUCUUGUUCAUGAACAAAACUUUCAAAGGUAAUUUUAGGUUUGGCAAUCCCAAUGCUGGCACUUAACACAAUUGCUUCUUUAACUCGACAAACACUUCCUCACACUCUUGAUUCCACUCUAUCGACUCAUGGGGACCCUUCUCCCCUUUUGUCAACUCUGUAAGUGGCUCAGCAAUUUCAGAGAAUGACGGAAUAAAAUGUCUAACAAAACUGAAAACUCCUAAAGUUUUCCUGAGUGUGAAAGGAGUGUUUGGCCGUGCCAAAGAACGUAUGGUUUCUACCCGAUCCCGGGUAAUGAUUCUUUCCCUUAGAAAUCAACACCCCCAAAUAGGUUACCUCUUUCUUUGCUAGUUGUGCUAUCUCAUAAGAUGCUUUAUGACCCUGUUCCCCCAAAUAGUCAACCAAUGUGGUGAGGUCUCGCAUAUGAGUUUCUUCGUCUUUUGACGGUAAUAACAAAUCAUCCACAUACUGUACCAACACAGAACCUUCAAAUGUACACCCUUUUAACGAUUGUUUCAAUGCAGAAUGAUACCAAGUGGGACUAUUUGUAAAUCGCAUCGGUACUCUAGCCCACGUAAAUUGCUCCCCCUGGCAACAGAACCCGAACCAGUGUCGUGACUCCUCAGCCUCACCAACCAAAAUCCGUUUUUCAUGUCUAACACACUGUACCAUUCUGAGUCUGAGGGAAUAGAUCACGAUCACGUUCAAGUAAUAUUGGAAGGUCCUCCGCCACCGAUUUCUCAGCCUCUGGUUUAAAAGGGUAUUGCUUCAUUGGUGGUGGCGGUUCUCCCUCAACUACAACAGGCUUGCAACCUUAGACUAGCCCACAAUCUAAUGCGUCUUUUGCCCAUAAUGGAUGGUCCUGAAACAACAAUUGCUCGGCUUUCGUCGUUCUUACAGCCAAUUUUAAUUUAUUACCUUUCAGAAUCCAUUCCCCCGGCAUCUCGCAAAGAUUAUCCAACCCCAAAAUCGGUUCUAUUCCCGUAGCCAUGUAAAAUGAUCCUGGUCCUAGUUUUAAAGACAUAGGUAAUAGUUGUAUCGCUUUAGAUUGUGCCCCUGUUACCCCCUGAACGUGAUACUUUUUCCGGUCAUCAUAUGGAAUUAGUGAUAUUUGAGCGCCUGUAUCUAUUAGAAAGUUGUGCGAGACGUGACACUUACGUCUCCUUUCACAUAAAAAACGUCAUCUCUAUGAACCACUAUUGAUCGAACGGAGGCCAUGUAAUGCUAUGCAAAAUGUUCCUGUCCCACUGCUUUUAAGAGGGUUUGCUUCUGCUCUUUUGACAAAGAUGCAAACACUUUUACAGCGCCAUUUCCUCCCAAAGCAGCAGGUUCCAGUACCACCAUACACUCAUUCUUCCAAUGCCCGAUAGCCCCACACCUAAAACAGGGAUCUAAAGCUUUACGCCUUCACAUGAUUCCACCACUUUCCUUCCCUGUCCAUUUGUCUUAUUUGGGCCAUUGUAACCACUGUUAGUGACUUUCACUGUGGCAGCAUUAACCACUCGUACUGCUGCGUAGAAAAUGGAAUUUGAUUCUACUCUCAAUGCUGCUUGUACUAUUUCAUCCCAGUGAGAAUGCUGAUCCACCACCCCAGUUAUAGCCAUUUUGAUAACAGGUUUCAAACCUGUCAUCAACGCAGACGUGCAUAUUCCUGCAUUUUGAUCAUAUCUAUCCCACAUCGUCAAGUUAGUACGCAACGCAUCAUCCAUUCAAUCCACAUAAUACAGUUACUAUUUUUACUAGCAUCUGGUCGGAACAACACCUUCCCCACCUUCGUUAGAUGAUAAAGAAAAAUCAUUGUCGGACCAAAACGCAGCGGGGUUAUGCGCACUCUUCCUCUUUUAUUAGUUUGGCAAAGAAGGAAAAAACAAAAUAAACACGUACACAAAACACAAUGACGAAUAACAGGCCGGUAAGGCAUGAAGGCUAUGCCUAGCACAAUCUCCCACAAACCACCAGCACAUACCUAUAUAUAGGACUCUCAAUCAGAGGCAACUAGGAAACACCUGCCUCCAAUUGAGAGUCCAACACCCAAUGACCUAAACAAAGAAUACUAAUACUAAUACUAAUACUAAUACUAGAAUGAACAUAGCCCAAAACCCGGAAAUAAUAAAUCAAACACCCUUCUAAACAACCAACCACCCCGAACCACAUAAAACAAAUACCCUCUGCCACGUCCUGACCAAACUACAAUAACAAAUAACCCCUAUACCGGUUUGGACUUGACAGGACCCAAAGGUGCAGACCCCGUAUGCACCUCAACAAAAAACUCUAACUAAAAAAAAUAAACUAACUAAAGGGAGGGAAGGGAGGGUGGCUGCCGUCAACGACGGCUCCUGUGCUACACCCCCCCUCCCCAAACCUCCUACAAUGGAGGUGGCUCCGGCUCAGGCCUCAGUCCCCUACCUGACCCAUCCACCCCCACUGAAAUCCUCUGCCUGAAGCCAUUCACUGAUGACCCUGGACUGCAGGGCGACUCUGGGAGCUCCGGGCUGUAGGACGACUCUGGGAGCUCCGGGCUGUAGGACGACUCACUCGGUUCCGGACUGUAGGCAGACUCACUCGGUGCCGGCCUGUAGGCAGACUCACUCGGUUCCGGGCUGUAGGCAGACUCACUCGGUUCCGGGCUGUAGGCAGACUCACUCGGUUCCGGACUGUACACUGUUGCCGGAUACUCUGGACUGGACACUGUUGCCGGAUACUCUGGACUGGACACUGUUGCCGGAUACUCUGGACUGGACACUGUUGCCGGAUACUCUGGACUGGACACUGUUGCCGGAUACUCUGGACUGGACACUGUUGCCGGAUACUCUGGACUGGACACUGUUGCCGGACACUCUGGACUGGACACUGUUGCUGGACACUCUGGACUGGACACUGUUGUCGGAAGCUCGAGACUGAGCUGACACACUGGAAGCCUAAUGCGUGGGGCUGGUAGUGGAGCUACCAGACUGGAGACACGCACUUUAAGGCUAGUGCGAGGAGCGGGAACAGGCUGAAUAGGACUGGGCUGACGCACUGGAAGCCUAGUGCGUGGGGCUGGUAGUGGAGCUACCAGACUGGAGACACGCACUUUAAAACCUCUUGAGGAUACCCUAGGAUAGGGGGCGCCACAGCGCAUUUUGAAAAAAAAUUGUUCCCAUUUUCAACGGCCUACUAAUCAAACUCAGAAGCUAGGACAUGCAUAUACUUAUUAUAUAUGGAUAGAAAACACCCUAAAGUUUCUAAAACUGUUUGAAUGGUGUCUGUGAGUAUAACAGAACUCAAGUGGCAGUCAAAACCCCGAGACCGAUUGAACCAGGAAGUGGAAUUCUGAAUUGUGGACUCGACUUCUCAUCUUUCCCUAUUAAUCACACUGUUAACAAUGGUUCAGUGAGCACUUUCUAUUGCUUCCACUAGAUGUCGCCAGUCUUUUCACAGUGGUUUGAGCCUUAUACAGUCGAAACUCAGUGAAUGAGACGCAUUGGAAAUUGGUCACAGGGGAUGGGCCAUCACCAUUAUGACGCUGUCUACCCCCACCUUUGGAAAUGUUUCAAAACACUCUGCAACCGUCCCCGUCGAAUCUUAUUGGCUCUCUAGGUGUUACAGGCCCUGACGAUUAAUGUUUUACAACGUUUGACAUGUUUGAACGAACCUAAAUGGGAAAAAAAAAAUGUAUUUCGAAACGGCUGUGCCACGCCCGGCAGAGUAUUUGGAUACAGCAUUCAGACGCGCUAACAACAGAAAGCUAAUGGAACAUAAAUGAUGGACUUUUUCGACCGAAAAUACAUCUGUUGUGGACCUGGGAUUCCUAGAAGUGCUUUCUGAUGAAGACAACUAAAGGUAGGCGAUUAUUGACAAUAUUAUACAAGAUGAGAUGUGACAUGCGAUUGUUCCAAGAUGGCGCCGAGCU